GACGAACGCUGGCGGCGUGCUUAACACAUGCAAGUCGAACGGAAAGGCCCUGCUUUUGUGGGGUGCUCGAGUGGCGAACGGGUGAGUAACACGUGAGUAACCUGCCCUUGACUUUGGGAUAACUUCAGGAAACUGGGGCUAAUACCGGAUAGGAGCUCCUGCUGCAUGGUGGGGGUUGGAAAGCUUCGGCGGUUGGGGAUGGACUCGCGGCUUAUCAGCUUGUUGGUGGGGUAGUGGCUUACCAAGGCUUUGACGGGUAGCCGGCCUGAGAGGGUGACCGGCCACAUUGGGACUGAGAGACGGACCAGACUCCUACGGGAGGCAGCAGUGGGGAAUAUUGCACAAUGGGCGGAAGCCUGAUGCAGCAACGCCGCGUGCGGGAUGACGGCCUUCGGGUUGUAAACCGCUUUCGCCUGUGACGAAGCGUGAGUGACGGUAAUGGGUAAAGAAGCACCGGCUAACUACGUG
rnacentral:rRNA from 1 species